UCUAAUAUGGCAGAAUAAAUGCAGUGGAUUUAAGCUUCAUUUAUAAAGAGUAAUCUUUUUUUAGAA
rnacentral:tRNA from 1 species